UAUGUGUCUCUCACCAAUUAUAUCACAGCAUUUGGAUAACUUGUAUCAAUCACAGCGUUUGGGUAUUGAUUUCUUGUAAAUGAUGCCGUGGAUCAGGGGGCUGUGCGCAAAAAAUGACAUUAAACAGAAAUUUUGGGCUCUUUUGAUAAGUGUGAUGGUUUUUGGCCUUCGCGAGAGGCUCGUCGACCAAGGUCAAAUUUUAUCAGGAUGCGAAAGAUUCGCAUUUAACUUUUUGUACCAUUAAAGUUAAAACGUGUUUUUUCCGCUCCUUUACCUCACAACUCUCCUCUACUCACAUGGCACACGCCAAACUUACAUUCCUUCACGUACCAUGAAAAUAACGUCCAAAGUCCAAUCAGAACAUACCCAUCAUUGUAAUAAAAUAUGUGGUUUUUUUUCAUCGUGGUGAAAGAUAGAAGAUGAACUUUAUUCGUUUGUCUCACGAUGGAGUCACCUUGGAUGUUAAUCGCGACGUUUAGAUUGCAAUACUGCUAGUCUUCAUCAGGCGAUGAAGUCGAUUGUUUACGUGUCGCUAUUUGUAGCACGUUUGGUUCGCUGCUGUUAGUGCAUUUCAAUCCUCAUUAUCAUUCCGGUUGUUAGGUGGUAUUCCUUCAUAGGUCCGCAAUAAUCGGCUGUUGUGUUGUUUGAUCUUGGGUACUCAAGCCUCGGAAAUUUCGAUUCCAUUAUCCCUAUUGAUGUUGUUAGGAUGAAGUCUUAUAUGGAUAGCCUCUUUGACCCUACGUGUAUAUUACUGAGGGUUAUGAUCAACAAACUUAACCUUGCUCCAAGUAGGAAUAUGCCCCGUUUCGUUAGCGUGCUCCGAAACCACAGAGGUCUCAGUUGGAGCAAACCGUUUAUCUCUGUCAUGUUGUUUUAUCCUUUCUCGCAUUGAUCUCCCCUGUUUCACCGAUAUACACUUUUCUGCAUUCACAUGGGAUCUUGCAAACGACACCGUUUUAUUUUGUUCGUUCUAGGGCGUCUUUAGGUUGCACUAAGUGAGACCUAAGCGGUCCGUAUGCCUUGAUGUUCAAAAACCAUUUACUUCAUGAACAGAGGUAAAUCUUCGUACAUGAAUUUCCCUUCAGACUGUGCAUAACCAUUUGUAGACGAGAAUUCCAAUGCACCUCUGUAAUCGCAUAUAGUUGCUUCUGUAUCUUUCUUAUAAAAAAAUGAGGGUAAAACACAAUUUGUAAUCACAUUCAAAAUUGUGACGGGCUUGUGUUGUUUCUCACCUUUGCCGUGAACAUAACUCAAGUGGGUUCGAGUCUUUGUUUCCUCGACAACUUUCGGCCACAAAUCGUGCAUUCUUGUUCGAUUAUUUCUAUAUAGAGUGAAUUCACAUCAUUAUUUAUAUCAUCGUCAGAACUUGGAUCCAAGGUAUCCAUCACCCAAGAGAAGAGCACCGGUCAGGAAAGACAGAAUAGUUUUGCGCGCUUCUCUUGAGACUGCAAUAGGGCAAGCCAGUGGAUUCUCUUUGCUAGCCAGUGACAAUUCCCAAACCAUCUACGUGAUCAUGCCCGUGUCGGAAACAAAAGAGACUCCAUUUGGCGCUCAUCUUUGAAUGUUCUUUUAAUCGCUUGAUCGCUCGGGCUUUAAGUUAUUUCUUUCUUUUUUUAUUGUUUAAUUUAACAUUUCUAAAGAUGGGUUUAUUGUGAUUCAAUGGGAAAACGAGAACAGCGUGAGUGUUGUAAAUGAAAGGAAGUCGUUGGCGCCGUGAAGUUAAAAGAAGGGACGACAGUUGACAUAUAUCGACUGGUACAAACAACGAUCGAGUGGCCAUUGAGAAAGCUAGGAUUUAGAAAGUUUGUGCUUUCCUACAAGUGUAUGAAAAAAAUUAAAAAACUGAGAGUUAUGAAAAUGAAGAAGACGAAUGGCCCAAGACUACAACAUUUCCUGCAGCAGAUAGAAGGAACGGAUUCUUUUAAUGAGAUCAGCAUUGUCAAACAUGAUAAUGAUCUUGAAGAGCUUGAAGUAAAAAAGCGGAGAGUGUUGGAUGAUGUUGUUCAGAAUGUGUAAGAAAGGCUCGACUACUUAGAGAAUGACCCUGUCCUGAAAGCUGCAGCGGUACUGGAUCCAGACAUUUGGCCAAAAGAUGAGAUGGAACUGUCUGCAUAUGGUGAAGAAGAAGUUCAAGUGUUGGCAGAUUACUUUAAGGAUCAUUUGUUGAGAGCUGGAUGUGAGCUUCUAAAGAUUGAUAGAGAAUGGUCAAUUGUGAAAAGCCAUGUCAGCCGUCACUUGACUGGCUGAAGUACAGAAGAAGUGUUUACCUCUCUCUUUAGAAGUUACACAGAUCAGUGCUUCAGUUUCCUGCUCCUGGUUGAAACAGUUCUUAUGUGGAAUGGUUGGGAGCCGGAAGGGCUCCCUUAAAAUUUUCUUAGAGCACAGCCUUGCACAUGCUGGUUCAUUGCAAAUAAAUUGUGAAAUCUUUAUCACA